rnacentral:rRNA from 1 species
GAUGAACGCUGGCGGCGUGCCUAAUACAUGCAAGUCGAGCGAACGGACGAGAAGCUUGCUUCUCUGAUGUUAGCGGCGGACGGGUGAGUAACACGUGGAUAACCUACCUAUAAGACUGGGAUAACUUCGGGAAACCGGAGCUAAUACCGGAUAAUAUUUUGAACCGCAUGGUUCAAAAGUGAAAGACGGUCUUGCUGGCACUUAUAGAUGGAUCCGCGCUGCAUUAGCUAGUUGGUAAGGUAAAGGCUUACCAAGGCAACGAUGCAUAGCCGACCUGAGAGGGUGAUCGGCCACACUGGAACUGAGACACGGUCCAGACUCCUACGGGAGGCAGCAGUGGGGAAUCUUCCGCAAUGGGCGAAAGCCUGACGGAGCAACGCCGCGUGAGUGAUGAAGGUCUUCGGAUCGUAAAACUCUGUUAUUAGGGAAGAACAUAUGUGUAAGUAACUGUGCACAUCUUGACGGUACCUAAUCAGAAAGCCACGGCUAACUACGUG